GUCCCUCAGUGUCACUGUGAUUAUUAUGCAGGGGGUGAUGUCACUGGGAUGUCUGAUUUCUGGCCACCUGGCAAAGGUGGGAGAGGAUGAGUUGACAGGAGGGCCGCACAGGCUACUGUGGCCCCAAGUGUGCCGAAGGCUGCAGGGACGGCGAGGCAAUCGGAUGGUUAGGACUGGUGCACAGACUGGAUGGGAUAAGACGGGGACUUGCCAAGGCACAGCUAUCUGCAGAAAGUGGGGAGUCCUGCAUGGGGGCCUUCUGAACAGGGUCCCCCUGCUCCUUCCCUGGAGCCCCUCCUUGUCAGGCACAGUACACGCCCACAGGCGGUGUCGAUGAAGACAGGUCUGAAUUCCCAGGACAGGACCUCUAGAUGGAAGGAGCCAAUGUCCCUCCCACUGCCCACCUGAUGGGGCCUCAUGUGACCCCUAGGUCCUACAAGCUGCCGGGCUGCUGCAGGGUCUCGGCUGUUGCUCUGUAGGGCCUCGGGAAGGAGGCAGGGUUGAGUCCAUUAGCUCGGUGCUGUUCUCUGGAGAGCGUGCAGGGGGAUUAUGGGCUGCUUUGCCGCCUCCCGACUUUUGGGGACCACCCCUUUGGGACUGGAUCCAAGGAAGUGAGUGAUACCAUUAUUAGACGUGAUGCACACGGGACCCUGUGCACCUGUGGCCCUCUCCUCCCUCGGGAUGUGUGAGAUCUGGGAGCUGGUGCAGGUGUUGGAUGAAUGGGACACCUGGCUUCUUGGACACCGCUGGGGCACGAAAACACUGUAAAGCCUCCUGAGGCCUCAUCUGCCUGGAAAUAAUCCUGCAGCACAAAUUUUCCAGAACCCUGCCUCUUCCCCAGCCACAGAGCCCAGGCAGUUUGCUUCCUGAUCCCACAAAUACACUUGGGAGUUUCA